UCUGGAACCAGUGCAACAGCAGAACAUCAAUUGUAUCGAAAUCUGGAACAGAAAAAUCUCCAAAAUCUGAGGAAACACAAUCAAAACUCCGUAGGAAUCGUUCGCAGUCUGCAUUCGAAGCUCAAAAUGUAAACUGCAAAAUCACGAGAAUUGCGAGAAAACGAUCAUUGGAGCAGAUCCAUGCGAAGUUGAAGGAGGAGCCCAAGUUGGAGUAUUGCCCGCGAUUUCCAAAAUAUAACAAGGACUCCACGAGUAGAUGUCAGGAUCUGAUGUCAGGGCUCGCCAUUGCGCAGACCUGUCGCCGGCGCCCUGAUAAGUGGGCAAACGAUCAGAAAUCAGCAUCGACAUCAGAUGAGGAUCUUCUUGAAGAAAAAACUGUGCAAGUAUGCAGAGAAAUCCAGGAGCGUGUCACAUGGCUGCGUGAGAUGCAGAAGUUGAGAGCCGUCACGCAAGACGAGGCGGCCAUCAUCAACGCGCAGCUCGCUACGAGACUGCGCUUCUUGCAGAGCACCUCUUAGUGAACUGCGGUAACACUUUAUUUAACUCCCAGCCUGGGAUCAACAGAGAUAUUUGGCACUGAAACUUGCUUUACCUCGUAGAAAAUUGCGAUAGCACUACACGCAACGCCCAGCAUGGCCUCACUAGUCUCUAAUGACCCCGGAACUUAACGCAUCCCUUAAAGAACUGCGGUAACAUUGCACGUAACGCACGGCAAGGUCUCACUAUAGCCUCUUAUUGCACUGGAACUUGAUGCACCUCCUUAAGAAUCACGGCAAAACUACAUUUAGGAUGCGGCCAUGGACGCAAUAUGUGCUAUUAGUGUUUAUUUGUUGCGUGACGACCAUCGUCACUUGUGGACAUCACCAAAUGACGUCCAAAUGUUAAUGAACAUAAAGGAUCUGGAGACUUCGCCUAAUGGGAAAACCACUCUCGAGUGGUUGAAUUAUUUAAAAUGCUACUAAUAUGAUGAAGGAUGACCAAAAUUUUCAGACUUU
rnacentral:lncRNA from 1 species